CAGAUCUGCCAGGUAAAUGUACCCACCUGAGACAGCUCUCUCUUGCUUUCUCUCAUACAUUCUUAGCAUAGUCCUCAUGGUAAUAGUGCCUUGCUCUGAAAGAAAGACUGCGUGGGGUGGAGAAAAGGAGAAGAGUCUUGGAGAUUCUCAGCAAACAAUCUCAGUUAAGAAAGAGGAAAUGAAGUUAUUUAUGUGACUGAAUUUGCAUAGCAGAGACUACAGUUCCACCAAAUACUCGAUGAGAAAAUGAGUCUCGACUUGCAGAGCCAAGAUGACCAAAUAGGAACAGCUCCAGUCUACAGCUCCCAGCCUGAGCGACGCAGAAGAUGGGUGAUUUCUGCAUUUCCAUCUGAGGUACCGGGUUCAUCUCACUAGGAAGUGCCAGAGAGUGGGCGCAGGUCAGUGGGUGCGUGCACCGUGCGCGAGCCGAAGCAGGGUGAGGUGUUGCCUCACUCGGGAAGCGCAUGGGGUCAGGGAGUUCCCUUUCCUAGUCAAAGAAAGGGGUGACGGACGGCACCUGGAAAAUCGGGUCACUCCCACCCUAAUACUGUGCUUUUCUGACGGGCUUAAAAAAACGGCACACCAGGAGAUUAUAUCCCGCACAUGGCUCGGAGGGUCCUAUGCCCACGGAGUCUCACUGAUUGCUAGC
rnacentral:lncRNA from 10 species